rnacentral:rRNA from 1 species
GUGCCAGCAGCCGCGGUGAUACGUAAGUGGCGAGCGUUAUCCGGAAUCACUGGGCGUAAAGAGUGCGUAGGCGGUUAGGUAAGUUAGAUUUGAAAGCCCGGGGCUCAACUCCGGACCCGGAUCUAAAACUGCCUGACUGGAGCGAAUCAGAGGACAACGGAAUUCCCGGUGUAGCGGUAAUAUGCGUAGAUAUCGGGAGGAACACCAGUGGCGAAGGCGGUUGUCUGGGGUUUUGCUGACGCUGAGGCACGAAAGCCAGGGGAGCGAACGGGAUUAGAUACCCCGGUAGUCCUGGCCCUAAACGAUGAACACUAGGUGUAGGAGGCUUCGACCCCUUCUGCGCCGCCGCUAACGCAUUAAGUGUUCCGCCUGGGGAGUACGGCCGCAAGGUUGAAACUCAAAGAAAUUGACGGGGCCCCGCACAAGCAGUGGAGCAUGUGGUUUAAUUCGAUGCUACGCGAAGAACCUUACCAAGACUUGACUUCCCGAUGUAAGCCUUUAGAAAUAUUGGCCCCCUUCGGGCAUCGGUGACAGGUGGUGCAUGGUUGUCGUCAGCUCGUGCCGUGAGGUGUUGGAUUAAGUUCCGCAACGAGCG